GGCGUGGUGGCAGAGUGGUCUAAUGCGCAAGACUUGAAUAUCCAUAUUUGAGUGAUCUUGUCUCUUCGGAGGCGUCCGUUCGAACCGGGCCCACGUCG